GUCACUUUGCCGGAGUGGUUAACGGGAUCGCCUGCUAUCUCCAUUCAAGCGGUUGCACUUUGUGCGCGAGUGUUCGAAUCGCUCAGGUGACG